rnacentral:rRNA from 1 species
GAUAAACGCUAGCGGCAGGCUUAACACAUGCAAGUCGAGGGGCAGCAUAGAUUGUAGCAAUACAAUUGGUGGCGACCGGCGCACGGGUGCGUAACGCGUAUGCAACCUACCCGUCACAGGGGGAUAAUCCGGAGAAAUCUGGUCUAAUACCCCAUAACAUAUGGAUCGGCAUCGGUUCAUGUUGAAAUUUUCGGAGGUGACGGAUGGGCAUGCGUAGCAUUAGCUUGUUGGUGAGGUAACGGCUCACCAAGGCGACGAUGCUAAGGGGGACUGGGAGGUUUUCCCCCCACACUGGUACUGGGAAACGGACCAGACUCCGACGGGAGGCAGCAGUGAGGAAUAUUGGUCAAUGGGCGCAAGCCUGAACCUGCCAUGCCGCGUGCAGGAUGACGGCUCUAUGAGUUGUAAACUGCUUUUGUACGAGGGUAAAGUGGGUUACGUGUAACCUUUUGAAAGUAUCGUACGAAUAAGGAUCGGCUAACUCCGUGCCAGCAGCCGCCGUAA